rnacentral:rRNA from 1 species
AUGACCGGCCGAUUAGUAGGCCAAGAUGGAGCACAACCUCUCAGCGUGAAGAAAAUUCCACUCGUAAUGCAAAGCACCAGCCUUUUGUUAUCCUUCUUGCAAGUGUCCGUGUCGAUGGCUCCAACGGCUCUGAGGCGUCCAGGCGACGCAGGAGGCGCGGAGGCUGGUGGGGCGGCCGGGGCCGCGGGUCGCGGCGAGGCAGAGGCUUGGGCGGAGGUGCGGGCGUCGGGGCGGCCGGCGCCCUCCUCCCCCCCCUGGUCGCCGGCUUCAGAACCAGCACAACAAAUACACCAAAUCACAAGAUCAAACAUGGAUUUGAGACCAGCCAUGCGUUCUACUCUGCUGCUUCUGGUGCUCCUGCUUCCUUUUUCCGCAAAUGCGUCGAGCAAACUCUAUAUUGUGUAUAUGGGAGAGAAGCAGCAUGAUGAUCCAUCCGUGGUUACCGCGUCACACCAUGAUGUACUGACCUCUGUUUUCGGAAGUAAGGAUGAAGCCCUGAAGUCUAUAGUAUACAGUUACCGGCACGGAUUUUCCGGUUUUGCAGCGAUGCUAACUGAAACACAAGCUGAGUUCCCUGCAGAAUUUCCUCAAGUUCUAUCCGUAAAGCCAAACACUUAUCACAAGGGGCAAACAACUCGGAGCUGGGAUUUUCUUGGUCUUGACUACUACCAGUCACCACGUGGUUCUGCCGGCCUCCUCCAGAAAGCAAAGUACGGCGAAGAUAUCAUCAUUGGUGUCAUCGAUUCAGGUAUUGACCCCGAGGACCUCAAGGGCGAGUAUAUGUCCCCAAGGGACUUGAGUGGCCAUGGCACGCAUGCAGCCUCGACCAUCGCUGGAAACCGCGUGUGGAAUAACGGCACGUCGUACGCGCUGGCAUCCAAAAUAAGACGAGGAGGGGCAAAAAAUGGUGGCGCGCGACGUGCCCUGGCCGCUGCAUGCGACCUUGCGGCAGCUGCGAGCGAACGCCAUGGCUGGAUUCGAGCGCUCCUCUCCAUGGUCGCCGCAGCCGAACGCGCUAGUCGCCAUGGCUGGCUUCCGUUUUCCUUCCAUGAGAGCUGCAUCCCGGGCGACGGUGGCGGUGCUGGAGCCGUUCAAGCGAUGAGCGACAACCAGCAAGGCCAGAACCCCACUGUCCGGAAAGCUGCAACAGGCCACACAAUAUGCUGGAAGCAGUGUUCCCUGGAGCUGGAACCAUCGUACAUUUUUGCUGCAAUCAGCAGUCGCCAGGGGGUGAAGAAGGCGAGAUACGGUGCUACUACCAAAGAGUCUUUUUGCUGGAACCGGAUCCUGGAGAUGCUGGAACCAUCUUCUAUUUUUGCUGCAACCAGCAGCUACCGGGGUGAAAACGUCGAGGUACGGUGCUACUACCACAUAUAG